rnacentral:rRNA from 1 species
GCAAGUCGAGCGAGAAAGCACUUCGGUGCGAGUACAGCGGCGGACGGGUGAGUAACGCGUAGGAAUCUACCUGGUAGUGGGGGACAACUUGUGGAAACGCAAGCUAAUACCGCAUACGCCCUAAGGGGGAAAGCGGGGGAUCUUCGGGCCUCGCGCUAUCAGAUGAGCCUGCGUUGGAUUAGCUUGUUGGUGAGGUAAGAGCUCACCAAGGCGACGAUCCUUAGCUGGUCUGAGAGGAUGAUC